CAGUGACUUGCGGUUCUGCUCUGUGGUCGAGCCUGUUCGCCUCCCUCUGGGCGUGAGCUGGCCCCCACAACUCGCUCCUAGCCAGGGGAGUAUACCCAAGCAAAGUGCUGAGGCUUUAGAGGGCAGCCACGAAAGUCAUGUGGCUGCCGCCCGGCUGUCUGAGAGGCCACUAGCCAAGAGGACGCUCCCGCAGCGCUGUGCGGAGGCCUGGAAGCGGCCCCUCCUGCCCGGGCAGGCGGGAGUGCUUUACACGAGGCCCCCUGGUCUGGCGUCCCCACUGCCACACACCGGAGACCACAAGCCGGACCACCCGGCUGAAUAACCCGCUGAAACCGUGGUUUUCAUGGGAGGAAGAGGUGUCUGUGAGAAAACUACCGGCGUGACGACAUCGUGUCCUCUAGCUAGUGACACGCACAUAGGACCUAGGAGUCAGGGACCCCAUCGGGCCCCGGGCAGGGGAGCUGAUAAACACGGCCGAGCCCCAGGAAAGUGGAUGAAGACUCGGAGGUGAAAAAGAGAGACUCCCGACCACUUACGACCUGUGUAAUUCUACAUUAAUGCAGUUCCUCAGAUGGCAUCCGGGGAUUCAGCCCGGAGCCUGGAACGCGAGGGGAACCAGAACAGGGUCGCCGGGAGCGCCGCGCCCGUGCUGGUUCCGCGGGGACGGAGGGCUGUAACGCUGGGGAAGCUGAGGGGUGUAGGGACCCUCCGUGCCUUCUUUGCAAUUAAAAUGAUUCCAAAAUUGUUGUUUUUGAUGAACAGAGGUAAAGCAGCAGACACAGCAGAGACUCAUACAGGCAUCUUCCCCGCAUUGACGUUAGAGGCACGUGUGUUAAAAUGCAUAACUGGGGACAGCCGCGUCCCCGUCUCUGCUCCUGCAGACGAGAUCACUGGACACCGGCUGUUCCAAGAGGAGGCCGAGCCCGAGGCCGCCCAGCACAUCGUCCAAAGACCCCCCGCUCUGUACUGCUCGCCCUGAACGUCCACAAUUCCACACCAAGUGAACCCCACACAACACACACGUGCUCAUCAAGCGUGGGGCCCGAGGCCAGAAGGGGCUGCGGGGCUCACGGCUCCGGCCACACAAGCCGUUGGCUCGGCACCACUGUCCCGACGUUUGGUUUGGCGGGACGAGAGGGCUGCGUGCCGCAGCGUCUUUGGGGGACUCCUGUGGUCUGGUGAUCAGGGCCACAUGAGUGGUGGUGAGCCCCGUGUUCCAAGUGAGGAGUUCACGCACACAUGCUACCGUACCCACAACCUCCCAACACAAUCACACACGCAAUCUCGAGAACACACGUGGUCACACACUAGCGACACAGACGCACAGCCUCCCCGCAACCGCGCACACAACUAGGCACGCCCUCACACACGGGGUCACACGGUGGCAGAUGUGCGCUCACACACACCACCGUGGGCCGGGGCCGCAGACGGGCAGCGCAGGCUCGGGGUCCAUGAGGCCGCGUCCUCACGGCCGUGUCCCACCGUGCUGGUGCACAAGACACCAGUUUAUCUGCCAGGUGCCCAGAGGUUCGCCCUCCGGAUCCCAGCAAGUGGACGCUAAAGGGGGCUGGCGGGCCUGUGUUGGAUGUGAACACGCGGUCCCCAAAGCUCCAACCACUGCCAGGGACCACGCCUUCCCCUGUGGGGUCCAGGAGUGUGGAGUUGGCCCCUGAGAUGGGCGACAGCAGGGCCCUGCCGGGCCAUCCUUCGCCGAUUCUUGGGCAAAGCCCAUCCUCCUGGCCAGACUGCAGAGCCCGAGGACAGCUGCCCCUGCGUGCCAGGCUGGCUUUCCUGCCACACAUCGCCCCCCACCCUGCGUCAGGGAUUUUCAUGGCACCCCCCCCAGGGUGACCCCCAGUACUCUUGUCAGGCGGGCACCCCGGGGCACGCAGAUGCUGAGGGCCAGGUAGGGGAAGCAGAGCAGCUCCCCACAGCGGGCCUGGCCACCCUGCCCGGCUCUGGCCCCCGGUUCCUGCCGUGCCCCGCACCACCCGGCGCCGUGGGGAGUGAAGGCGUGAAAGGGUGCUCUGGGUGGGAGCGCGGGCAGGUGUCCGGGACCGUGGCCUCAUCCGCGCACCCCGGCCGGCUGCUCUGCCGGUCCAGCCGGCUGCACAGCGGCUCUGCCUGACCUGGGAGCUCAGCACCCACAGAGGCCGCCCCGGCCCUUUCCGGAGACCCCGACUCACCGCCCGCCCUCCGCCGAAGCCGCCGCCGCUUCUGCUCCAGCGGGCCCUGCCGCGGGGACCAGGGAGUGGGGGCGGGGCCGGGGGCGGCACCGGCAGGGAGGCGGGGUCACUGAGGCCUUGCUCAGGUGUGCAGGGGGAGGGCAGGGCGGUCUGGCAGGUGAGCCUUGGGGCUGGUGAGCUCCCUGGCGGGUGAGCCAGGACAGGGCCCUGCACGACCCUAGGGAGACAGCCUGGGGAAGGGGCUGUGCGUGAAUAACUAUGAUCGUUUAAAAAAUAAACUUGCAGAACAGCUUUG
rnacentral:lncRNA from 1 species